CUGUGCUAGACGGGGAGCUAGCGGUGCCCUGUAACCUGCAACCCGCUAUAGCAGGGUCGAAAGCCUACAUUGAGGUUCAUUCGUUGCCAUGAUCGGUGCGAGUAAGUUAUGUUGAUAGUUCAAGCCCUACGCAAUAGAGGCGUGCCCAACCCCGUCAGGACCGGAAGGUAGCAGCGGUAAGCACACAAUCUAUGUGCCGCAGGAGCACUUGGCUGGAGUAGGCUGCUCGUACGGUUAUGCAAUAGAGGAAUCGAAGGUAGGUGCACAG
rnacentral:SRP_RNA from 1 species